UACGUAGGGGGCUAGCGUUGUCCGGAAUCAUUGGGCGUAAAGCGCGUGUAGGCGGCCCGAUAAGUCCGCUGUGAAAGUCCAGGGCUCAACCCUGGGAUGCCGGUGGAUACUGUCGGGCUCGAGUCCGGAAGAGGCGAGUGGAAUUCCUGGUGUAGCGGUGAAAUUCGUAGAUAUUCGGAAGAACACCAGUGGCGAAGGCGGGUCUCUGGGCAGUAACUGACGCUGAGGAGCGAAAGCGUGGGGAGCGAACAGG
rnacentral:rRNA from 1 species